UACUAGAAGCCGACACUGAAUCAGAGACGGCUAUCAAACACACUUACCUAGUGCCACGGUGAGGUCAGAUCUAGGGUGAAAUCAGCUGGCCGGGAUCAUCCGACGCCAUCGGAGAGAAAGAAAACGUGGCAAAUACGCAGCCUGAUGGUCCGGCGCGCGAUGACGUCACAUCCGUCACAGAAACGGUCACAGAAGUGUCUCUGUAGCUCAGGAGACUCCAGCUUCAGUCCACUCCUUGUGAAGACCUCCCAAGUGUUUGAUUGACUGCGUUCUCAAGCCUGAGCUCAUCCCUGUCGCUUGAACGUUUUCCUACUUUACUUCCAGCAAACUCUGCAUCUAACAUGCUUUGAUACAGCACUCUGUGGACAGACAGCUCUUUCAGUAAUGACCUUCUGUGAUCGACCUCUUUGUGGAGGAGCUCAGCGAUCGU